GAUGAACGCUAGCUACAGGCUUAACACAUGCAAGUCGAGGGGCAGCAUGAUUGAAGCUUGCUUCAAUCGAUGGCGACCGGCGCACGGGUGAGUAACACGUAUCCAACCUGCCGAUAACUCGGGGAUAGCCUUUCGAAAGAAAGAUUAAUACCCGAUAGUAUAGUAUUUCCGCAUGGUUUCACUAUUAAAGAACUUCGGUUAUCGAUGGGGAUGCGUUCCAUUAGAUAGUUGGCGGGGUAACGGCCCACCAAGUCAACGAUGGAUAGGGGUUCUGAGAGGAAGGUCCCCCACAUUGGAACUGAGACACGGUCCAAACUCCUACGGGAGGCAGCAGUGAGGAAUAGUGGUCAAUGGACGAGAGUCUGAACCAGCCAAGUAGCGUGAAGGAUGACUGCCCUAUGGGUGGUAAACUUCUUUUAGACGGGAAUAAAGUGGAGUAUGCAUACUCCUUUGUAUGUACCGUAUGAAUAAGGAUCGGCUAACUCCGUG
rnacentral:rRNA from 1 species